CAGAUUGUUGCAACAGGAAAAGAAUUGCAAAUACUUUUGCUUACCGCAACCUUACAUUUUGAUAUGUACGUGUACAAAUAAUUAUUAUGUUCUGUUGAUAAUAUGGCAGUAUUCAUGUUACCUUAAGUGCGAAAUCACCGUAACAAAUUAUAUAUAUUUCUGUUAUUUAGUGGAUAAUUGCUUUAAAGACGAACAAAGAAUAAAAAUGUCCUAUUAUCGAAAUGGCAACAGUGGUACAUAUUACCACCAUGAUCGCGAUUGUUGGGGUGCCGAAUUCGCAAUUUAUGUCUUCGGGGGGAUAAUAGUAUUUCUCCUGGUGAUCAUUUUGAUCUGUAUAUGUUAUAUUUGUUGUCGCAAAGACAGUCGUCGUGAUGGAAUGGCUAUUUAUCCGAUGGCACCUCCGAUGAUACAACCACAACAUGUUGCAGUUUGGUUUAAUGCGCAUGCUGAUGGAAGGCGGCAGUAAAAGCAUCCUAAGGUCCACUUCUUUGGCCUUGAGGUGUUAUGUACACACAGGGCCCGAACUGUCAACAUGUUCAAUACCAACAACAUCAACCGCCUGCACAGGUUCAUGUUAAUGCCCAACGUAUGUCUACAGCACAACCAGGAAACCGAAACGAUGUCUCCGAGUGCAGAAAUACAGCACCACAAAACACAUGUUUACCACUUGAGUAGAAAGAAUCGUAGACUAAUAAGAAAGAAUAAAUGAUGUGUAAGGCAAUGUACCAGAUCGUUAUACUUGUCAACAUUUCGAAAUAUUGAAGUGUAUGACAUGUUUUAUGCAUAUAAACAGUCAAUAAUGUACAUUAUCAACCUGAACUUAUAAACAUUUGCACUUACAAACAUCAACAAAUUCUAAAGCUGAUAACAGCCUGAUUUGCCAAUAAACUUUGAAAACUUUGUAGUUUUAAAAUAAAUGUGAGAGUAUAGCAGUUGUUUGUCCGCUCAUGUCCAUAAACUCACGAAAUCAAAGUCAAGAAUGGUAUUAUUA